rnacentral:lncRNA from 10 species
GCCUCAUAGUAGUCAAUUUUUGGAGGAAGUUAGACUAGCUUAAAAUAAGAGCACGUAAUCAAAAACCAUUAAGUAAACACGGGCUCUUUAUUUUUAAAUUCGGAUGGCGAGAGAUAGUUGCUACAUGCCGUUAAAGGGAAAACUAGUCUUUGGGGUGCAGGUGACAACUGUGAUCAAAGCAGUAUCACCCCAAGAGGCAACAUUAUCCUGAAGUAACAUAACUUUGUACCGAAGGCCAGCUUCUGGCUGUGGGGUACUAGCUCCCCGUCCCUAGCGUUCACCUUAACCCUUGGGAAGGAAAGUACUAUUAAAAUUAAGUAAUAUACAAAUUCAUCUCAACUACUGUCAAUUAACAUUCUAGUGUCCUUAUUCAACAAAUCAAAAGCAAGGCAACACCAGGAGAUGGAUUUUGUUUCCUUCUGAGCUUUUUAAUGGUGAUCAGCAUUUUCUACCAAAUAAUUCCACUCACAAGUCGUUCUCCACAAAAUCCGUCUCCUGUUCUUCUGUGUUUCCAUUAUAAUGGAAGAUUGUUGGAUAAACCAUUAGUUUUCAUAAGAUUUUUUUUCUUCAGUUAAGUAUCACCAUACUAAAUAAGUAUCACCACACAAAAUAAGAGUUCCAACUGUCCCUGUGUGUAAGUUAUAACUACUCCAUAUAUAUGCCUAUAGGGCAUUGGAAUUUGAAAGCAUUAUGGAAACAGAAUUAGAGAAUUAUAACAGGAAAUAGUAAGGGACUCAACAUUUCAACUCCUUUGAGCUUGUUUUAUGUAAGAUCUCACUAGGUCCUCACCAACCUCUGGGCAGGCAUUGCUAUUCACAUUUGCAAGUAAGUUAUCGUAAAGGCUUUUUGAUAACCCCUGACUGAAACCCUAAGUA